rnacentral:rRNA from 1 species
AUCAUCGAAAGUAAACUAAUUUUUUAAUUCCAAUUAUUUAUACCAAUAGUAUUAUAUUUGUAGGAUUUUAUAUUACAAUAAUAAAUUGUUGUAGGGAAAAGUAUCUAAUGGCGUGCCAGCGGUUGCGGUUAUACGAUUAUUUAUAAAAAUUAUUUUAUUAGGAAAGUGAAUUUAUUUUCUAAAGUUAAAUCUAGGGUGAAAUCUAUUUUUUACUUUUAAACUAAGUUUUUCCUUUUGACAUUUAAAACAAAAUAGGAUUAGAUACCCUUUUAUUAAUUUUAAGAGGUAUUAAAUGAUAUACAUGAAACCUAACUCAUUUGGCGGUUUAACCACUUAACAGAGGGGCUUGCUUAAUAAUCGAUAAUCCUCGUUUAAUUUCUCUUUACCUAUUAUUUUAUAUACCUCCGUAAAAGAUCAAUUUUAAUUAUUUUUUCUUUUAAACAAUUUAAUUAAAUCAGGUCAAGGUUUAAACUAUGAUAAAGAAUAAGUUAGCCACGUAUUAUAGACCUCCCUAAAGAGGGCGUUCUCAGGAUUUGAUUGUAAAUUAAAAGUAUAUUUUAUUAUUGAAUUAGUAAAGUUAAAUGUACAUAUCGCCCGUCACUCUUGUAAAAGAUAAGUCGUAACAAAGUAGAGGUAUCGGAAGUUGCCUCUU